rnacentral:lncRNA from 1 species
CCGCCCUGUGACUAACGGCUGGAACCGCCUAAGACACCACCCCAGCCAGCAUGGCCGGCAGGAGCGCACCGCGCUGUCUCCCUCCAGGGAUCCGCACCGCCCUACAAUCCUGCUUUGUGCUGAGAUUGUAGUCCUGCAGGCGUACAACUAACAAGCUGGGUGCAGAUAAGAGACUACAGCUCCCCGCAUCCCAAGCAAAGGUCCCUCCUCUACGGAGCCCCUCCACGCGUCCACUGCGGUUCCGCCGUGCCAAGGGGAGCUUGGCUGUUCACGGGCCUCACCUGCUAGCGAGAAGAUAGCUUGGCCGGGCGGCUGAUCUCACCUUGUAAUUCUGACACUGUGUCUCCCGGGCUUGUCGGCUUCAUGACUUGUGCCCAAAGUUUGAUUUCUCGCAGACCAGGAGGACCCAUUGGACCCCCGGGCUGGCUGCAGGGCCCACACCUGGGUUAGACCUCGCACAGGGACGCUGCUGCCACUGUAAUAAAGCGUGCCUACACGCUUCUGAAACUGGUGUAGGAACAACCUCAGUUCUGUGAAAGGCGGACGCAGCAGGACAGAAUCUCCGUGGACAUCUGUCUGGAGGAGCAAUUUUACUGCGACAUUUUAAAGAAACAAAUUUAAUUGAUUUCCAAGGCUUGAGUGUGAUUAAAAAAAAAAAAUUAAAAGGUAAACUUCACCGUGCAGGAAGAAGCAUAGGAAAAGAGAGAGAGAAAAGAACAAAGAAAAAAAAGAAUAGCAAGUCUCUCCAAGUACUAUGGAAACAAACAGAAAGUGGAAUUAGGAAAAAAGAGAGGAAGAAGGUCUGAGUAGUCCAAGGGACACGGGAGGCCAGUUGGGAAGACCGCCCGGGCGAGACCAGGAAGAUCAAGGCCACAGUGAAUCACGAUCCCAUCCCUCUGCUCAACCUGAAUUGUACUGCUGCUGGCGAGAGAGAUCUGGUCGACCUUAGACAUGGCAAGGCGAGAGGUGAGGUCCAUCAGGUCGACCUUAGUCCAACGCUCACAGCCGACAUCUCUCUCAAAAUAAAUAAACAAAUCCAACAGUAAAUAUUUAACAAUGACAAAAAAAUUAAAGAACAAUACAUAAACAGGUUGCAGUUAACAAAAGUAAAAAGUAAUUAAUAUCACAAUUAAGAUCUUCUCCCCUGUCUCUCUGUUUGUCACACCCAGGCUGGAGUGUGUGACAAAAUAAAAAAUCUAAAAGAUCAACUUUAUUGUGCAGGAAGGAAUGUAGGAAAAUAGAGAAAAGAACAAAGAAGAAAAACAAAAGCAAAUCACUCUAAGUACUGUUACUGUGGAAACAAACUAAAAGUGGGUUAAAAAAAAAAAAAAACAGAGGCUGGGCGUGGUGGCUCAUGCCUGUAAUCCCAGCACUUUGGGAGGUCAAGGCAGGCAGAUCACGAGGUCAAGAAAUCAAGGCCAUCCUGGCCAACAUGGUGAAAUCCCGUCUCUACUAAAAAUACAAAAAUUAGCUGGGCUUGGUGGCGUAUGCCUGUAGUCCUAGCUACUCAGGAGGCUGAGGAAGGAGAAUCAUUUAAACCCAGGAGGUGGAGGUUGCAGUGAGCCAAUAUCAGCCACUGCACUCCAGCCUGGCAACAGAGUGAGACUCCAUCAAGAUCAACAACAACAAGAACAGCAAAAAACAGAUGAAGAAGGUCUGAGUAGUCUCAGGUACACGGGGGGCCCCCCAAGAUGGGAAGACCACCCGGGUAAAACCUGGGAGUCUGAGUUCUCAGUGAAUCGGGAAUGCAUCCCUCUGCUGGACCUGAAUGGUACUGUCACCAGCAAGAGGCAUCUGGUCAACCUUAGACGUGGCAAGCUGAUGGCUAAGUCCAACACUUGCAGCCGAAAUUGGUCUCAAAAUAAAUAGACAAAAAAUCCGAUGGUAAAUAUUGAACAAUAACGAAAAAUAAUAACAAUAUUAAGGACCAAUAAAUAAAUAAGUGGGAGUGAACAAAGGUAAAAGAUAAUUAUCACAAUGAAGAUUAUCACAAUGAAGAUUUUCUCCUCUCUCUCUCUUUCUCAAUUUGUCAUGCCAGGCUAGAGUGUGACAGAAAUCUAAAAGAUCAACUUCAUCGUGCAGGAAGGAGCAUAGAAAAAUAGAGAAAAGAAGAAAACAGCAAACCAUUCUGAGUACCGUGGAAACAAACUAAAAGUGGGCUUAGAAGGAAAACAGAGGAAGAAGGUCUGAGUAGUCCCAGGGACUCCAGAGGCCAAGAUGGGAAAGCCACCCAGGCGAGACAGGGGAGAUGGAAGCCACAGGGAAUCACUAUCACAUACCUCUGCUGGACCUGAAUGGUCCUGGCGCCAGCUAGAGCCAUCUGGUCGACCUUAGACAUGUCAAGGCAGGAGCCAUCUGAUCGACCUUAGACUUGGCAAGCUGGUGGCUAAGUCCAGUGCUCACUGCCGACAUCUGUCUCAAAAUAAACAAAAAGUCCAACAGUGAAUAUUUAACAAUAACAAAAAUAUAAUACCAAACAAUAUUAAAGACCAAUAAAUAAGUGGGAGUGAACAAAGGUAAAAGGUAACUAAUAUCACAAUUAAAAUAUUCUGCUAUCUCUCACUCUCUCUCUUCCCCUUUCCAUUUGUCACACCCAGGCUGGAAUGUGACAAAAAAAUAUAAAAGGUCAAUUUCAUCAUGCAGGAAUGAGUGUAGAAAAAGGGAGAAAAGAACAAAGAAGAAAAACAACAGCAAGUCUCUCUAAAACUUCAGUUAGUUUCACUGUAGAAAAAAAAAUUGAAAGUGGGGUUAGGAAAAAAAGGAAGGAGGAGGAUAAGUUCAGGUAGCCUGAGGGACUAGGGAAGCCAAGUGGGAAGACCACCUGGGUGACACUGGGAAGAUCGAGACCACAGUGAAUCAUGAUCACAUCCCUCUGCUGUACCUGAAUAGUACUUCCAAAGGCAGGAGCCAUCUGGUCAUCCUUAGUCAUGGCAAGGCGAGAGCCAUCUGGUUGACCUUAGAUAAGGUGAGAGCCAUCUGGUUGACCUUAGACUUGGCAAGCUGGCAGCUAAGUCCAAUCCUCUCAGCUGACAUCUUGGAGAGAGAGACAGACAGACAGACACAAACAGCGAGACAGGAGAAAAUCUUAAUUGUGUUAUUAAUUACUUUUCCAAAGAUAUAACUACAAACAAUAUUAAAGACAAAUAAAUGGGAGUGAACAAAGGUAACAGGUAAUUAAUAUCACAAUUAAAUUCUUCUAAUCUCUUUCUAUCUCUCACUCUCGAUUUCUCUCUGUCAACUUCAUCAAGCAGGAAGGAGCACAGGAAAAUAUAAAGAGAAAACAAGAAAAAAAUAGAAAGUCACUCUAAGGACUGUGGAAACAAACUGAAAGUAAGGUUAGGAAAAACAAAGGAAGGAUGUCGAAAUAGUCUGAGGGAAUCAGGAGGCCGAGAUCAUCAGAAGGCCACCCUGUAGAGACCUGGAAGACGCCCAGGGCACAGUGAAUCACGAUCCGAUCCCUCUGCUGGACCUGAAUGGUACUGCUGCUGCUGAGAGCCAUCCUCUCGACCCUAGACUUACCAAGCUGGUGGCUAAAUACAACCCUCGUGGGAAGAUCUGUCUCAAAAGAAAAAAAUCCAACAGGGAAUAUUUAACAGUAACAAAGAACUAACCAUAACAAUAUUAAAGACAAAUAAAUAAGUGGGAGUGAACAAAGGUGAAAGGUCAAUUAUAUCACAAUUAAGAUCUUCUCUCUCUUUCUCCAUUUGUCACAACCAGGCUGGAUUGUUCCAAAAAAAAAAAAUCUAGAAGGUCAAAUUCAUCAUGCAGGAAGGAGGGUAAGAAUAUAUAUAGAGAGAAAAGAACAGAGAAGAAAUACAACAGCAACUCACUGUAAGUACUGUAGAAACAAACUGAAAGUUGGGUUAGAAAAAAAAAAAGAAGAAGGUCCAAGUAGUCUGAAGGACUCGGGAGGCCAAGAUGGGAAGUCCACCCAGAUGACACCGGGGAGAUCGAGGCUGCAGAGAAUAAGGAUCACAUCCCUCUGCUGGACCUGAAUGGUACUGAUGCUGUUGAGAGCCAUCUGGUCCUCAGACAUGGGAAGGCAAGAGCCAUCUGUUCGACCUUAGACAUGGCAAGAUGAAAGCUAAGUCCAGUGCUCGCUGCCAACACGUUUCUCAAAAUAAAUAAACAAAAAUUUCAACAGUAAAUAUUCAACAAUAACAAAGAAAUAAUAACAACUUUAAAGACCAAUAAGUAAAUAAGUGAAAGUGAACAAAGGUAAUAGGUGAUUAAUAUCACAAUUAAGAUCUUCUAUCUCUCUACUUCUCUGUUACUCUCUAGCUGUCUCUGUUUGUCAAACCCAUGCUAGAGUGUGAUUAAAAGAAAUAUAAAAGUCAACUGCUUCCUGCAGGAAGGAGCAUAGGGACAUAACGAGAGAAAAGAACAAAGGAAAAAAAAAAAAAACAGCAAGUCACUCUAUGUAUGUGGAAACAAACUGAAAGUGGGGUUAGAGAAAAAAAAGAAGGUCCGAGUAGUCUGAGGGACUCAAGUGGCUGAGAUGGGAACACCAGCCGGGUGAGACUGGAGAGAUCAAGGUUACAGUGAAUCACAAUUACCUCCCUCUGCUGGACCUGAACGGUAUUACCGGAGGCAAGAGCCAUCUGGUCGACCUUAGACAUGGCAAGGCAAAAGUCCUCUGGUUGACCUUGGUCCAAUGCUCGUGGCUGACAUCUCUCUCAAAAUAAGUAAGCAGAAAAUCCACCAGUGAAUAUUUAACAAUAAAAAAAGAUAACAUUGUGUCAAUAAAUAGGAGUGAACAAAGGUGAAAAGUAAUCGAUAACACAAUUAAGAUGUUCUCCUCUCUCUCUCUCUCUCUGUUUGUAACACCCAGACUGGAGUGGGUUCAUAUUUAUCAUGCUGGAAGGAGUGUAGAAAAAUAGAGGAAUGAAGAAGGAAAACAACGCAAGUCAUUCUAUGUACUGUGGAAACAAACUGACAGUGGGUUUAGAAAAAAACAACAGAGGAAGAAGGUCUGAGUAGUCCCAGGUAAUUGGGAAACCGAGAAGGGAAGACCACUCGGGUGAGACCAGGGAGAUCGAAGCCACAGUAAAUCACGAUCACAUCCCUCUGCUGGACCUGAACGGUACUGCCGCCUGCAAGAGCCAUCUGGUCGACCUUAGACAUGACAAGGCGAGAACCAUCUGGUCAACCUUAGACAUGGCACUCUUGUGGCUAAGUCCAACUCUAGUUGCUGAAAUACGUCUCAAAAAAACAAAAACAAUCCAACAGUAAAUGUUUUACAAAAACAAAAAAAUAAACAAUAUUAAAGAACAAUGUAUAAAUAAGUGGGAGUGAACCAAGGUAAAAGGUAAUUAAUAUCACCAUUAAGAUCUCCUCUCUUUCUCUUUUUCUCUCCAUUUGUGAUACCCAGGCUGGAGUGUGACAAAGGAAAAUCUAAAAGGUCAACUUCAUUUACAGGAAAGAGCAUAGGAAAACAGACAAAAGAACAAAGAAGAAAAACAAUAGCAAGUCACUCUAAGUACUGUGGAAAUAAACUAAAUGUCAGGUUAGGAAUAGAACAGUGAAAGAAGGUCCCAGUAGUCCCAAGGACUCGGGAGGCUGAGACACGAAGACUGCCCAGGUGAGACUACAGAGACUGAAGUUGCAGUGAAUCAUCACAUCCUGCUACUGGACUUGAACAGUACUGCUGCUGAUGAGAGCCAUCUGGGCGACCUUCGACAUGGCAAGGUGCGAGCCAUCUGAUCAGCCUUAGACAUGGCAAGGCAAGAGCCAUCUGGUCAACCUUAGAAGUGACAAGGGACAGCCACCUGGUCGACCUUUGACAUGGCAGGAUGACAGCCAUCUGGUCGACCUUAGAGAUGGGAAUGCAAGAGGCUUCAGGUCCACCUUCAACAUGGUAAGGCUAAAGCCAUCUUGUCCAGCUUAGACAUGGCAAGGCAAGAGCCAUAUGGUCCACCUUAGUCAUGGGAAGGCAAGAGCCAUCUUGUUGACCAUAGACAUGGUAAGGUGGGAGCCAUCAAGUCUGCCUCAGACAUAGCAAGGUGAGAACCAUCUGGUCAACCUCAGACAUGGGAAAGUGAGAGCCAUCUGAUCUACUUCAGACAUGGCAAGGCAAGAGGCAUCUUGACCUCAGACAUGGCAAGGAAAGAGCCAUCCGGUCGACUUUAGAGAUGGAAAUGCGAAAAGGGUUUGGGUCCACCUUAAGCAUGGAAAGGCAAGAGGCAUCUGGUCUAGUUUAGGCAUGGCAAGGCAAGAGACAUAUGGUUUACCUUAGUCAUGGGAAGGUGAGAGCCAUCUGGUCGACCAUAGACAUGGCAAGGUGGGAACCAUCAAGUCCACUUCAGACAUGGCAAGGUGAAAGCCAUCUUGGUCAACCUUAGACAUAGGAAGUUGAGAGCCACAUGGUCUACUUAAGGCAUGGCAAGGCAACAAGCAUCUGGUCAACCUCAAACAUGGCAAGGCAAGAGCCAUCUGGUCAACAUUAGAGAUGGUAAUGCAAGAGGCUUCAGAUCCAUCUUAGACAUGGUAAGGCAAGAAGCAUCUCAUCUAGCUUAGACAUGGCAAAUCAAGAGCCAUGUGGUCCACCUUAGUCAUGGGAAGGUGAGAGCCAUCUCGUUGACCAUAGACAGGGCAAGGUGGGAGCCAUCAAGUCCACCUCAGACAUGGCAAGGCGAGAGCCAUCUAGUCUGCCUCAGACAUGGCAAGGUGAGAGCCAUCUGGUUAACUUUAGACAUGGGAAGGAGAGCCAACUGGUUGGCCUCAGACAUGGAAAGGCUAGAGCCAUCCAGUCGACCUCAGAAAUGGGAAAGAGAGAGCCAUCUGGACAACCUUAAACAUGACAAAAUGAGAGCCAUCUGGUAGACUUUAGACAUAGAAUGGCAAGAGCCAUCUGGUCAAUCGUAGAUGUGGCAAGGUGAGAGCCAUCUGAUUGACCUAGACAUGGCAAGGUGAGAGACAUCUGGUCGACUGAAGACAAGGAAAAAUGAAAGCCAUCUGGUUGAGCUUAGACAUGGCAAGGCAAGAGUCAUCUGGCCGACCUUAGACAUGGAAAAAGAAGAGCCAUCUGUUUGACCUUAGACAUGGCAAGGCAAGAUCCAUCUGGUCAACCUUAGACAUGGCAAGGUGAGAGCCAUCUUGUUGAACUCACUCGAAGAGGAGACCCAUCUGGUCAACCUCAGACAUGGCAAGGUGAGAGCCAUCUGAUCGACCUUAGACAUGGCAAGGUGAGAGCCAUCUGGUCGACCUUAGAUAUGGCAAGGUGAGAAUCAUCUGGUCAAUCUUAAACAUGGCAAGGUGAGAUCCAACUUGACCUUAGAUAUGAUGAGGUGAGAACCAACUGUUCAAUCUUAGACAUGGCUAGGCAAGUGCCAUCUGGUCCACCUUAGAUAUGGCAAGGCGAGAGCCAUCUGGUCGACCUUAGACAUGGCAAGGUGAGAGCUGUCUGUUCAUCUUAGACAUGACAAGCUGGCAGCUAAAUGCGAUGCAUGCAGUCGACAUCCAUCUCAAAAUAAAUGAACCAACAGUAAAUAUAUAACAAUAACAAGGAAAUAAUAGUGAACAACCCUAAAGACCAAAUAAUUAAGUAGGAGUGUACAAUAAUAAAAGGUAAUUAAUGUCGCAAUUUAAAAAAACUCCUCUCUCUCUCUGUCUCUCUCUCUAUUUGUCACACACAGGGUGAAGUGUAACCAAAAAAAAAAAAAAAAUCCAAAGGUCAAACUCAGUUUGCAGGAAGGAGCAUAGGAGAAUAAAGGAUGGAACAAAGAAGAAAAAGAACAGCAAGUUACUCUGAGUAUUGUGGAAACAAACUGAAAUUAGAGUGAGAGAGAGAGAGAAAAAAAAAGAAGGUCCGAGCAAUCUCAGAUAUAUGAGAGGCCAAGAUGGGAAGAUCACUUGGGUAAGACUGGGAAGAUUGAGUCUGCAGUGAGUCACAGUCGCAUCAUUCUGCUGGAUUUGAAUGGUACUGCUUCUGGCCCAAGUUGUCUGGGCAACCUUAGACAUGGCUGGAAACACUCUUUUUGUAGAACAUACAAAUGGACAUUUCUAAGCACAUUGAGGCCUAUAAUGAAAAAUCAAAUAUCCCACAAUGAAAACUAGAAGGAAGCUAUCUGUGAUAAUGCUUUGUGGUGUAUGGAUUCAUCUCACUGACUGAAACCUGAGUUUUGAUUCACCAG